GCAAGAGUAGAAGCGGCGCGUUAAGUGCCGGUCGGAUGGGAGGUUGCCGCCGGACGAAGGGGACCCUGUCUCCGCGGUGCCGUCUUCGCAUCCGCUUUG
rfam:Oscillibacter sp. CAG:241 genomic scaffold, scf98